rnacentral:lncRNA from 1 species
UACUUUUCUCUUUUCAGGCCCCAGUGCUUCAGCUGAGCCAUAAAACUGUGGCCCUGCUCAUUCGUUACCGCCGGUCUCCAAGCAGGUCGGCUCCAGUGAGAACAGCCUGGUGGGAAUCUCCCAAACACAUUCCUGCUUGACAGUUACCUUUUCACCACGGUAUUAACGAGAUGCUCCCAAACGACAGUGGCAUGAGCAGGCAGCAGUAAGGCCCGCGUGAAGGGCGGCUGUUGCCUUUCCUUACAGGGGCAGCGGCAGCUUCUGCCAGAGUGACCCCACGUCUCCCCACGCCUGCCAGCGAGGUUUCAAGCUAACACGUUCUCAGCAAAACCCCUUCUUCCUUGACUCCCACAACAGGCAAGGCCGUGUGAAGUCUGGAUCUGCUCAUGGUGGGUUCACUGGCCUCCGAAAGGAGUCCGCACCAUACUGCACUUCAGGAGUGGGUGGAAAACAGCAAGUGUGAACGUGAAAGAAGGACUAGGCCUGUGCUCCUGGGUUGCCUGGCUGCGCGGUGGCCACACGCAGUGCGUGGGGAGGGCUGCACGGGUCUGACACCGUCGCGUAAGCUAGCGAGGCAGUAACAGGCCCUGAUCUUGGUUUGUGCCCUUGCCCUUGGCUUUGGUUUUUAUCCUAAGGAAAGCCUUUUUUUUUAAUUUAUUUUACUUAUCCCUCAGCAAGAAGAAGUGCUGGCAGUGGAAAGCAGGCUAGUCCUGCAGUCGCGCGCAGCGCCGUCAGAAGCACGCAGCAGCGUGCCUGGGGAGGCAGGGAAGGGAUCGUGUGUUUGCCAUUAAUUACAGUAAGAACCUGGACUUACUCGGGAGGCCUGAUUUAUUUCCAGAGUUAUUGACGAGCUCUUAACUGGAAAGAUGGAAUGAAAAGCAACCGUGAGUGAGUUAUGAAAGGUCAAUACCACCACAAAUGAACACAAACAGCACGUUGGAAGUCCAGCCCACCCUGUGCUCAGUUUAUGCAAUAUUUUCAUUGAAGCUGAUACCCACAGACAACUUUGCGGGGGGGGCUGGAGCAUUAGCCCGUCUCGUA